rnacentral:rRNA from 1 species
GGAUUAGAAACCCGGGUAGUCCACGCCGUAAACGAUGAGUGCUAAGUGUUAGGGGGUUUCCGCCCCUUAGUGCUGCAGCUAACGCAUUAAGCACUCCGCCUGGGGAGUACGGCCGCAAGGCUGAAACUCAAAGGAAUUGACGGGGGCCCGCACAAGCGGUGGAGCAUGUGGUUUAAUUCGAUGCAACGCGAAGAACCUCACCCAGGCUUGACAUGCUCCUGGUACCGACCCGAAAGGGGAGGGACCCGCAAGGGAGGGAGCACAGGUGCUGCAUGGCUGUCGUCAGCUCGUUCCGUGAGGUGUUGGGUUAAGUCCCGCAACGAGCGCAACCCCCAUCCGUAGUUGCUUUGUCUACGGAGACUGCCGAGCGAACCUCGGAGGAAGGCGGGGAUGA